rnacentral:ncRNA from 1 species
UAUGAUAGAGGUGCGGCUGAGAUCAGUAGCGUCAGACAGGAAAACCAUUCCGCCUUAUGCUGACGUGAAAGGCGGGGCUGCCGAAGAACGGAUUCCGGUAAAAUCAGUUCUGAUCAUAACCCGAACAGGAUUGUGAUUGUCAUCAACGUUGAUGGAGGGCUAUCA